rnacentral:rRNA from 1 species
GCCAAACAGCUAGCUUAAUUACUCAAAUAAUAAUAUAAUAAUAGAAAUAACACAGCAUAACUGCAACACACAAAUCAAACCAUUUUACCACCUUAGUACGGGAGACAGAAAAGGUUCUUUAAGCAAUAGAAAAAGUACCGCAAGGGAAAGCUGAAAGAGAAAUGAAAUAACCCAUAUAAGCACCAAAAAGCAGAGACUAAAACUCGUACCUUUUGCAUCAUGAUUUAGCCAGCACCCUCAAGCAAAGAGACCUUUAGUUUGAAACCCCGAAACCAAGUGAGCUACCCCGAGACAGCCUAUAUGGGCCAACCCGUCUCUGUGGCAAAAGAGUGGGAAGAGCUCUGGGUAGAGGUGACAGACCUACCGAACUUGGUGAUAGCUGGUUGCCUAAGAAAUGGAUAGAAGUUCAGCCUCAUAUUCCUCAAAUAAAACAAGUAAUCACCUAGACUAAUACAAAGAGAAAAUAUAUGAGAGUUAGUUAAAAGGGGUACAGCCCUUUUAACCAAGGAUACAACCUUAUACAGGAGGAUAAGGAUCAUACUUUACAAAAACUCGCCGUCCUAGUGGGCCUAAAAGCAGCCACCUGAACAGAAAGCGUUAAAGCUCAAACGGCUCAAAGUUUAUUAUACUGAUAAAUAAUCCUACUCCCCUAAAACUAUUAGGCCGCCCCAUGCCAACAUGGGAGAGACCAUGCUAAAAUGAGUAACAAGAAGGCACGCCCUUCUCCCGGCACAAGUGUAGACCAGAUCGGACCAACCACUGGCAAUUAACGAACCCAAAACAAGAGGGAAAUGCGAACAACAAAAAAAUCAAGAAAAACCCACAACAUCCCAGAUCGUUAACCCCACACUGGAGUGCCACCCCGGAAAGACCAAAAGAAAAGGAAGGAACUCGGCAAACACAAGCCUCGCCUGUUUACCAAAAACAUCGCCUCCUGCAAACACCUAAGUAUAGGAGGUCCAGCCUGCCCAGUGACUACAAGUUCAACGGCCGCGGUAUUUUGACCGUGCAAAGGUAGCGCAAUCACUUGUCUUUUAAAUGAAGACCUGUAUGAAUGGCUAAACGAGGGCUUAGCUGUCUCCCCUUUCCAGUCAGUGAAAUUGAUCUCCCCGUGCAGAAGCGGGCAUAUAACUACAAGACGAGAAGACCCUUUGGAGCUUAAGGUACAAAUCCAACCACGUUAAGCAACUUACUAAAAGCACAAACCUAAUGGACAAUGGCAUUUUACCUUCGGUUGGGGCGACCACGGAGAAAAAAAGAUCCUCCGAGUGGACUGGGACUAAAACCUAAAACCAAGAAAGACAUUUCCAAGUCACAGAAAAUCUGACCAAUCAUGAUCCGGCCCCCCGGCCGAUCAACGAACCAAGUUACCCUAGGGAUAACAGCGCAAUCCUCUCCCAGAGUCCAUAUCGACGAGGGGGUUUACGACCUCGAUGUUGGAUCAGGACAUCCUAAUGGUGCAGCCGCUAUUAAGGGUUCGUUUGUUCAACGAUUAAAGUCCUACGUGAUCUGAGUUCAGACCGGAGCAAUCCAGGUCAGUUUCUAUCUGUAACGUUACUUUUCCUAGUACGAAAGGACCGGAAAAGAGAGGCCCAUGCUAAAAGUACGCCUCACCCCUAAUUAAUGAAAACAACUAAAUUAAACAAAGGGAAAACAACCUUAACCUAGCCAAAAUAAGGCCAU